GCUUAACAGGUAAAGGCAGCACUUGCCCCAAGUCCGGGCACAAUCCCCGAGCUCAAUCUCGAAAACCCACAUAGUGAAAAAAGAACAAACUCCUACAAAGUAUCCUCUGAUGCACACGCAUAGCCAUUAGUAAAUAAAUACAAACAAACACCCAAACCUAUUAUUCCCCCACACCAGGUGUGGUGGUGCACGCCUCAGCAUUUGGGAGGUAAGAGACAGGACAAAAAUCAUAAUUCAAGGUCAUCUUCAGCUAAAAAGUCAGUUCAAGGGCCAGCCUGGGAUAUGACAGACUCCCUAAAAGAAAAAGAAAAGAACAGAAAAGAGAAAAAAAGAAAGGAAAAAAGGAAAACCACCUAACAAACCUGCACUUCCGUUUAAGACAGUUUUAUCAACAUUGAUCAUCUCGGGCUGCUGAUAACCCAUAUAAAACAUUUAUUUUCAAGUCUUUCUAAGGCUCUAGCUUGCUUGAGAUGCUGAUACACCACUGCCAUGUUGUGUCCAAAGGGCAUUUACCGCACCUAACCUAUCCACACUACAGGAACGGAAGGCAUGUCCAAACCUUUGACACUGCAACAGGACACUGUCAUCUCCAAAGUUCACAUUCAAGAACUGUCCAAGUUAAAAUAUAAAUAAAUAAAUAAAACCCUCAAUGCCUCAAUGAUUAAGGAAUUCACAAUUUUGUUUUGGCCCAUAUUCAUGGCUGUUCUGGGGCGCCGUAAUGAGUGUUGGUUUUGUUUAGCAUUGUGGGCAUGGUUAGCUAGGAGCUGAGGCUUGCUACUGCCCAGUGUCACGAGAAGAUCCUACUGGGUUUCACUAACUCAGGAAAAGAUCAGAUUUCAAAAUUCCAGAAGUGGUUUCUACCGAACACAUACGGCUUUAUACAUUAAUGUCUUGUCAAAAACUUCUCAGUCAACCCCAUUUUAUUUACUCUGCACUUCUGGCUGUAGUUCCGCUCCUCGUGUGAAGACAAUCUACCCACACAUACCUGGCAUUCAUAAAGCUUCUUCCUGCCCUUUUUUGCUCCUACUCCAGUUUGGCAUGCAGUGAGGUGACAUUUGAGAGUGCUAUUUCUAGCAAACCGCUCGUGACAAUUUGAACAUUCAAAAGGUUUUUCACCUAUUGUAAGAAAAAAAAAAUACAUUGACAAAUUAAGAAAAUUAGCAAAAGCAAAUGAGUUCACCUUUUUCUCCAUUUUUUUCUUUUGCAGUGUUGGGGAUUGAACCACAGCCUUUGUGUAUGCUGGGAAGACGACUUACCACCGAGGCAUACUAGACAACUUUAACAUCAUUUUUCUUUUUUAGACAGUCUCUCUUAUGUAGUUCUGGCUGUCCUGGAACUUGGUAUGUAGAGCAAGUUGGCUUCCAAUCCAGAGAUCCUCCUGCUUCUAAGUACUAGGAUUAAAGGUUAAUGUACCUCACACCCACCUCACACUUACUUUUUGAGUGUGAGUGUGUGUCUGUAGCGGGCAGGGCAGGACUUGUCAUAUAUACUAGCUGGCCACAAACUCUUAUGGUCAUUCUUUUGAAUGUGCCUUUGCCUCUCCAGUGCGGAGAUUGUGGGCAUGUGCCACAACAGGAGGCUUUCCUGUUUCUUUUUUUAAAAAUACAGUCUCACUAUGUUCCCCAGGCUUGGCCUCCCAAGUGCUACAACUACAGGCAUGAGCCACAUGCCUGACUUAACUCACACAGCCUUAGAAAGGGGAACACUCAACCUAAGUCAGAUUUGGGAGUCGUGUGGAAAUAUAGAACUAGCCUUUCCCUAAGCUUCCCCCCACCCCCCCUUUUUACCACGUAAAUGUAUCAGUCCACAUUUUAAGUGAUGCAGUAGAAAGGUAAAGACACGGAGGGAGCCACACAACCAUAAUCUCAGCAUUAGGAGAAGCUGGGUCGGAUAGAUUCUGAGUUUGAGACAGAUUUGGGCAACACAGCAAGAUGCUCUCACAAAGCAAAAUGCAUGGGGGCAUGGUGGUGAGUGCCUUAAAUCCAAUACCAGAGUGGCUGAGAUGGUAAGUUCAGGCCAAUCAGUGCCACACCAUGAGACAGUCUCUAACAAAACCAAAGUAAAAUACAAAAAGCAAAUAACCUGUUUUGAAUGUUUUCAAUAAAGUAAGUGCAAAAGCCCUGGGAACCCGCUGAGAGUGAGCGAACGCCACGACAACUGUAGCAGCGCACCCCAGUCAGAGCACAGGAGGAAGGCUGACUACGACUCCCAGAUCUCUGGCUUUUCGUGCCACCUUGUAUCAAGAGCCUGGGAUUUCAAAUGAAGUCUGGAGUGGUCAUGCUGGGAAAGACUAUGAAUUUAGGGCUUUUGGGUUUUGUUUGCAAAGUAACACAAAGCCCUGGGUUUAACCCUUAAUACCACAUAAAUUCGGUGUGAUGAUGUACAACCAUAACUCAGUACUUGAGAGGUGGAGGCAUGUCAAGGUCACUGUGGACAAUAUAUUUAUUAAAUUCAAGGCCACCUGGGCCACAUGAAACUGUC
rnacentral:lncRNA from 1 species